UACGUAGGUGGCAAGCGUUGUCCGGAUUUAUUGGGCGUAAAGGGCGCGCAGGCGGUUCGUUAAGUUCGAGGUGAAAUCUCCCGGCUCAACUGGGAGGGGUCUUCGGAUACUGGCGGACUUGAGGAGUGCAGAGGUGAGUGGAAUUCUCGGUGUAGUGGUGAAAUGCGUAGAUAUCGAGAGGAACACCAGUGGCGAAGGCGGCUCACUGGGCAACACCUGACGCUGAGGCGCGAAAGCGUGGGGAGCGAACCGG
rnacentral:rRNA from 1 species